rnacentral:rRNA from 1 species
UUAUGAGAGUUUGAUCCUGGCUCAGGACGAACGCUGGCGGCGUGCCUAAUACAUGCAAGUCGAACGCUUCUUUUCCCACCGGAGCUUGCUCCACCGGGAAAAGAGGAGUGGCGAACGGGUGAGUAACACGUGGGUAACCUGCCCAUCAGAAGGGGAUAACACUUGGAAACAGGUGCUAAUACCGUAUAACAAUCGAAACCGCAUGGUUUCGUUUUGAAAGGCGCUUUACGGUGCCGCUGAUGGAUGGACCCGCGGUGCAUUAGCUAGUUGGUGAGGUAACGGCUCACCAAGGCCACGAUGCAUAGCCGACCUGAGAGGGUGAUCGGCCACAUUGGGACUGAGACACGGCCCAAACUCCUACGGGAGGCAGCAGUAGGGAAUCUUCGGCAAUGGACGAAAGUCUGACCGAGCAACGCCGCGUGAGUGAAGAAGGUUUUCGGAUCGUAAAACUCUGUUGUUAGAGAAGAACAAGGGUGAGAGUAACUGUUCACCCCUUGACGGUAUCUAACCAGAAAGCCACGGCUAACUACGUGCCAGCAGCCGCGGUAAUACGUAGGUGGCAAGCGUUGUCCGGAUUUAUUGGGCGUAAAGCGAGCGCAGGCGGUUUCUUAAGUCUGAUGUGAAAGCCCCCGGCUCAACCGGGGAGGGUCAUUGGAAACUGGGAGACUUGAGUGCAGAAGAGGAGAGUGGAAUUCCAUGUGUAGCGGUGAAAUGCGUAGAUAUAUGGAGGAACACCAGUGGCGAAGGCGGCUCUCUGGUCUGUAACUGACGCUGAGGCUCGAAAGCGUGGGGAGCAAACAGGAUUAGAUACCCUGGUAGUCCACGCCGUAAACGAUGAGUGCUAAGUGUUGGAGGGUUUCCGCCCUUCAGUGCUGCAGCUAACGCAUUAAGCACUCCGCCUGGGGAGUACGACCGCAAGGUUGAAACUCAAAGGAAUUGACGGGGGCCCGCACAAGCGGUGGAGCAUGUGGUUUAAUUCGAAGCAACGCGAAGAACCUUACCAGGUCUUGACAUCCUUUGACCACUCUAGAGAUAGAGCUUCCCCUUCGGGGGCAAAGUGACAGGUGGUGCAUGGUUGUCGUCAGCUCGUGUCGUGAGAUGUUGGGUUAAGUCCCGCAACGAGCGCAACCCUUAUUGUUAGUUGCCAUCAUUUAGUUGGGCACUCUAGCAAGACUGCCGGUGACAAACCGGAGGAAGGUGGGGAUGACGUCAAAUCAUCAUGCCCCUUAUGACCUGGGCUACACACGUGCUACAAUGGGAAGUACAACGAGUCGCGAAGUCGCGAGGCUAAGCUAAUCUCUUAAAGCUUCUCUCAGUUCGGAUUGUAGGCUGCAACUCGCCUACAUGAAGCCGGAAUCGCUAGUAAUCGCGGAUCAGCACGCCGCGGUGAAUACGUUCCCGGGCCUUGUACACACCGCCCGUCACACCACGAGAGUUUGUAACACCCGAAGUCGGUGAGGUAACCUUUUUGGAGCCAGCCGCCUAAGGUGGGAUAGAUGAUUGGGGUGAAGUCGUAACAAGGUAGCCGUAUCGGAAGGUGCGGCUGGAUCACCUCCUUUCUAAGGAAUAUUACGGA